GUCAUAUUAUGCAGAUGGGUGCUCAUGGUGGCCUCCAAAUAAAUACAUGGACAGGCUGCUAAAGAGGGUCAGGAUGAUGGAGAUGCAAGAGCCAAAGACAGCACGGACCAAACACCAGGCCAGAAUUCUGCAUGAGUCAGUUUCCAGCCUUUUUCACAAAGUUGCCGACAACUGGAAGAAUGUCCCAAAUUGCUGAAAAAAGAAAUUCAGUAAGUCCUUAUAAAAGAGACAGUUUAAAAGAUUGAGUAAUUUUCACUCUAGAGACCCUGGGGUGACCAACAAGGACGAAUGAAAACUCCAGUGAGUGUCUCUAAGGUAGAUCCUAAUGCAGAUGGAUGGAAUGUUGAUCCGCCUAACAUGCAAGAUUUUCUGCACCGAGAACUUUGGAUGACCAUCAAGACAAGCACUCGUUUUGAGUCCUGAGACCCUGGGGUGACCACCGUGAACAAAUACAGACUGCAAAAAGGCAGUCUUGACGGUUCUAGGAUGAAUGCAAAUAAAGACUGACCACCUGACUUCAGCGGUCCAGCCUCUUGUGGGAAGCAGGUGUUUGUUACCCCAAAUACGGAUGAAGAGUGACGAAGAGGAUGAUGACUUUUUUUCUUAAACAUCAUCUGAAGGAUCUUGACAGGCUGGAGACAAAAUGAACAGACUGAGGGUUUAUACAAAGAAUCUUACUCAGCCAAUAUUAAAGAUAAGAUAUUUUUACAAAAUGUUCUUUUCAUUGUUUAGGAUGAUUUUAUGUAGAAAACAAUACAUCACAAAAAAGACUUUAGCUGGGUUUUCACAGGCAGUGCCUUACACACACACUAACCACAAUUAUAAACGCAACACUAACACAGAUUUAGACAGAUUUGUGAAUAAUAUCUGAGAGAAAUAGGCCUUUUGGGGACAUAGAAAAUAUUUAAGUUCAGCUCAUGAAAUGAAAAAUGGGGGCAAAAAAUGUUUUAACAAGUGCAAUACAAAUAUCAACCAUAAUACUGAUCGUUUAAAAAAAAGUAAGCCACUAUAUCUUUCUAGAAUCUUACAUAAGACUCAGUUACAUAAA